rnacentral:rRNA from 1 species
AUGGGAUCUGGAUCAGGAGUCCUGCUGGCGCUUGUGGCAGCAUGUCUAGCGCUUGCCCCGCCCUGCGCUCUGGCUUCUUCUCGCAAGUUUGGUCUGGAUAUUGCGCAACCAAAAUUACUGAACUCCACAAAUGGUUCAUUUACUCCAAGCUCACAUGUUGAUUUUGACCCUUCAAAAUCAAAGCGACUCUCGUGGCAUCCAAGGGUCUUCUUGUAUGAAGGUUUUCUCUCUCACAUGGAGUGUGACCACUUAGUAUCUAUGGCACAUGGUAAGAUAGGGUCAUCUGUACUUGUUAAUGAUGGUGCUACAAAUAUUUCCCAGAACAAUAUUGAUGCAGGCCUCAUAUUUCGCCUGGCUGAUAGCAAGGACAUAGUUGUUUCGAAGAUUGAAGAUAGGAUAUCAUUAUGGAGUUUUAUUCCAAAAGAGCAUGGGGAGAGCAUGCAAAUUUUGAAGUAUGGAGCAAACCAAAGUGACCCUAACAAGGAAGAAACUCAAUCAAGCAGUAGUGCCAAUAGGCUUGUGACCAUUUUGAUGUAUCUUUCUGAUAUCAAGCAAGGUGGUGAAACUGUUUUCCCCAGAUCUGAGGAUACUCAAGCCAAGGAAGGAACACCUUCUGAGUGUGCUGGUUAUGCAGUGAAACCUGUCAAGGGCAACGCAGUUCUGCUGUUCAACUCAAGGCCUGACGGAGUCGCCGACAAGGACAGUCAGCACGAGUUCUGUCCUGUCGUCGAAGGGGAGAAAUGGCUUGCCAUAAAACAUAUGUAUGCAAGCAAGAUCGAUAAAUCAAAACCUUCGCCGGCAUCCGAGGAUGAUGAUUGCACCGAUGAAGAUGGUAACUGUGUCAGUUGGGCCGCUGCCGGCGAAUGCGACAAGAAUCCUGUGUUUAUGAUUGGCAGUUCAGACUACUAUGGCACUUGCAGGAAGAGCUGCCAUGCGUGCUAG